rnacentral:lncRNA from 1 species
CCUCACUUGUCCCUUUUCUUGCCUUCUCCUCUCUUCCGUAGGUUCAGAUCCAGAACAAGAAAAUUGACUUUUCGAAGGUGUCUUCCAAGUGCGGUUCCAAGACCAACAUCAAGCAUAAGCCAGGUGGAGGAGAUGUUAAAAUAGAACAUCAGAAGUUGAACUUCAAGGGGAAAGCCCAAGCGAAGGUGGGCUCCCUGGACAACAUCAGGCACGUGCCAGCCGGAGGCACUGUGAAGACUGAGGAGGGCAAGGAGGCAGCCCCGGAGAACGAAGCGCCCCCAUUGGGCAGCAGUACCCCGCAGGAGAAUGGCGCAGGGGCUGUUGCGCCGUCACAGGGCAAAGGUGAUCAAAGCUUCAAUGACAGUGAAAUCGAAGAGACAAAUUGAAUCCCACAAGUUGACCUUCCGUGAGAACGCCAAGGCACGCACGGACCACGGGGCAGAUUUUGCGGCCUGCACCGGCAGCCCCACCUCCUCCUCCCCACCACUGAGCACCUCUGUCAGCGAGAGCCUGGGCGCCAUCACCACCGCCGCCAUGUCCUCCUUGCCCCCGCGGCUGCCCUGGCAGGCUCCCCUCGCGGAAGAGACUUCUGCUGCCCUCUCUUGGCCAGGCUUGUGACUCACUUUCCUGCCCUGUUUCCUACCCCAGACCCCAAAUAUCCCCCCAGAAUCUCAGCUUGCCUCCCUUAAUCUGUCACCGCCCACCUGCUCGGACUUCGGUGGGGCUCCCAGUUAAAUAGUUUUCCAGUUGAACCUUCUUUUACGCUAUUCCUGGACUCAUUGGGAUGGGAUGACCUUCUGGACAGGGAGUCCUGCUCACCUCAGGCCUCCCCAAGCUCAUU